GUUUGAUCCUGGCUCAGGACGAACGCUGGCGGCGUGCCUAAUACAUGCAAGUCGAGCGAACCACUUCGGUGGUUAGCGGCGGACGGGUGAGUAACACGUGGGCAACCUGCCUGUAAGACUGGGAUAACUUCGGGAAACCGGAGCUAAUACCGGAUAAUCCUUUUCCUCUCAUGAGGAAAAGCUGAAAGACGGUUUCGGCUGUCACUUACAGAUGGGCCCGCGGCGCAUUAGCUAGUUGGUGAGGUAACGGCUCACCAAGGCGACGAUGCGUAGCCGACCUGAGAGGGUGAUCGGCCACACUGGGACUGAGACACGGCCCAGACUCCUACGGGAGGCAGCAGUAGGGAAUCUUCCACAAUGGACGAAAGUCUGAUGGAGCAASGCCGCGUGAGCGAUGAAGGCCUUCGGGUCGUAAA
rnacentral:rRNA from 1 species